rnacentral:lncRNA from 1 species
AUGGCGCGCCCAGCCUUCGCUUCCACCGGUCCCGUUACCCCGGAGAAGGCAGAUUUCGGCGCUUACCCUGCCCUGCUCCCCCCGCCGCCCGGUGCCUCCCUCCGUGUCUCCGUGCCCCCGCCGGGAGCGCGGCCGGGCCGGGCCGGGCCGGGCCGGGCGGCGCCGCAAGGUCAGCCCCGCGCCCCGCCCGCCGGCCCCGCCGCGCCGCCCGCGCUACGAACCCUUGUCCUCCGCGCCCGCGCUGCCCAUGGUGGCGGAGCGCGGAGCUCGCCGCGCCUCCGGCCCGCCUCGCCAGCUGCCGACAGCCCAGCCUGGAGUCCCGACGGCUCGGGGCACGGGGUGGUCCCGGGCGGCGGGGGCAGCUCCUCCGGGCUCCCCUCGCCGCCCGGCGAUGCGAUCCCGCCGAGAGAUGCUCAAACCGCUCUAAUUAAAAAAUUAAACGCGGCCGCUGCUGCUACCGCCUCCUCCUCCACCUCUUCGCCCGCCCCUUUCCAUCGCUAUUCAGCCGCGCUCCUCUCCAGCCCCGCUUUGCACGGAUUAAAUCUAGGAGCGUGGAAACUUCCUGCAAAACACUACGUGCGGUGCAUCGGAAUCUGACACUUCUGUUCUGAAGACUUCUGAUUUUAUGUAUUGAAAACCCACUUUUCUGGAAUUUAAACUGGAAAAUAACUGGCAGCCAGCAAUAGGGAAUGACUCUCCUUCUUCAUCUACCAGUUGUCAGCACACAAAUAGCACUAUUUUUCUGUUCAAGAUGGUAUAUUUUAAAAUGGAAAAGCGAUGGAAUAACAAUCUUUUCCUACAAUUCAUUUCUUUUUCACUUGAAAAUCACAAGUUUUGCUUUUGCAUGCGAAAAGUGAUUUUUUGGUAAGGCAAAUGGGAGAGCAGUACAUGUGAAUCAUGCUGGAUAUAUGGACAAAGGGAGCAUUCACUACUCUUUGCUUUCAGUUUCUUGAUAAAGAUCCAUCUUUGUAUUCAACUGACUGUUACUAUGACUUUCAUCUGACUUCAAUCAUAUUUGCUGUUGAUUUGAUCCUUGUGUAGGGAGUGCUGUGUUUUCUCAAAGAAGAGCCCUUGAUCAGAAAUAGAGAUUUUAUAAUCAUCUAGUGAUUUGUUAUGUUGAGUUGGCAAAUAAUUUAAGCUUGGGAAAGACACUGAAAGACAAGUGGGUGCCAGUGAGUGAAAGGCAACAUGGAAGUCUUAGAGGUAUUAGCUGGUCAAUACUUUUAAUGGUUAAGGAUCACCUGAGUGGUCUAGGUGUCAAGAAAAUGUAACUGUUUUAAGGGAUAACUAACUCCCUUGUAACUUGCUUUUCAGUUUGGCUUUAAACAGUUCUCUUCGUGUGUUCCUUUGCAAGCAAACAAACUCCCUUCAAUUGCUAAAAGUUUUAAAUGGGCUGAAGUGGGCAGAGUCAGUGAAGAAUACUGUGUGCAGAAGAAAUGGAUCAAGUUGAAGCUCCCCUCCUAAGCAAAUAUAAGCAAGUUUUUUGAGGAUGUGCAGAAUCAGAAAGAAAUAGUAUAUACAGGAGAUAAAAGCAAUAAUAGAGGUGCACAGCAAAAGUGGGUGGAUUAUAUAUUAAUUUAUGUAUUGAUCACAGUUG